rnacentral:rRNA from 1 species
AGCAGCCGCGGUAAUUCCAGCUCCGAUAGCGUAUAUUAAAGUUGUUGCAGUUAAAAAGCUCGUAGUUGAAUUUCGGGAUCAAUAUGUCGGUCGUGCCUUCGGUACGUACUGGUAUCAUUGGUCUCUCCUUUCUGACGAACCAUGAUGUCAUUAAUUUGGUGUUAUGGGGAGUUAGGACUGUUACUUUGAAAAAAUUAGAGUGUUUAAAGCAGGCUUUAGCUUGAAUACAUUAGCAUGGAAUAAUGAAAUAGGACGUUCGAACCUAUUUUGUUGGUUUCUAGGAUCAACGUAAUGAUUAAUAGGGAUAGUUGGGGGCAUUAGUAUUCAAUUGUCAGAGGUGAAAUUCUUGGAUUUAUUGAAGACUAACUACUGCGAAAGCAUUUGCCAAGGAUGUUUUCAUUAAUCAAGAACGAAAGUUAGGGGAUCGAAGACGAUCAGAUACCGUCGUAGUCUUAACCAUAAACUAUGCCGACUAGGGACCGGAUGAUGUUAAUUUU